rnacentral:rRNA from 1 species
GAUGAACGCUAGCGGCAGGCUUAACACAUGCAAGUCGAGGGGUAACAGGGGAGCUUGCUCCCGCUGACGACCGGCGGACGGGUGCGUAACGCGUAUGCAACCUACCCAUAACAGGGGGAUAGCCCAGAGAAAUUUGGAUUAAUACCUCAUAAUACUAUUAGUUGCAUGAUUGAAUAGUUAAAGAUUUAUCGGUUAUGGAUGGGCAUGCGUGCCAUUAGUUAGUUGGUAAGGUAACGGCUUACCAAGGCAACGAUGGCUACGGGGUCUGAAAGGAUGGUCCCGCACACUGGUACUGAGACACGGACCAGACUCCUACGGGAGGCAGCAGUGAGGAAUAUUGGUCAAUGGGUGAGAGCCUGAACCAGCCAUGCGCGUGCAGGAGACUGCCCUAUGGUUGUAACUGCUUUUUAUAUAGGAAAAAAGCUUACGUGUAGGUUAUGAAUGUACUAUAUGAAUAAGCAUCGGCUAACUCCGUG